rnacentral:rRNA from 1 species
GGGCCCGCACAAGCGGUGGAGCAUGUGGUUUAAUUCGACGCAACGCGAAGAACCUUACCUACUCUUGACAUCUACAGAAGACUGCAGAGAUGCGGUUGUGCCUUCGGGAACUGUAAGACAGGUGCUGCAUGGCUGUCGUCAGCUCGUGUUGUGAAAUGUUGGGUUAAGUCCCGCAACGAGCGCAACCCUUAUCCUUAGUUGCCAGCACGUUAUGGUGGGAACUCUAGGGAGACUGCCGGUGAUAAACCGGAGGAAGGUGGGGACGACGUCAAGUCAUCAUGGCCCUUACGAGUAGGGCUACACACGUGCUACAAUGGUAUGUACAGAGGGAGGCAAGCCUGCGAGGGUGAGCGGAUCUCUUAAAGCAUAUCGUAGUCCGGAUCGCAGUCUGCAACUCGACUGCGUGAAGUCGGAAUCGCUAGUAA